UAGGGAAUCUUCCACAAUGGGCGCAAGCCUGAUGGAGCAACACCGCGUGAGUGAAGAAGGGUUUCGGCUCGUAAAGCUCUGUUGUUAAAGAAGAACGUGUGUGAGAGUGGAAAGUUCACACAGUGACGGUAACUUACCAGAAAGGGACGGCUAACUACGUGCCAG
rnacentral:rRNA from 1 species